UUUACAAAAUUGGACACACAUAUAUUUUACGUGUUUAUAUUUAGAAGUGUAAUUUCUUCUUGAUUGAUUGAUUUCAUGCUCAGUAUGAUGGAACCCUCCUUAUCCUUUUGAACAAGAAUUGAUGUGAAGUCUAUUUUGUCAGAUAUUAGAAGAGCCAACACCUGCUUGUUUCUUGGUUCUAUUUAGUUAGAGUACUUUUUUUAAGACAGUGUUCAUCUUGGGUGGUAAAUUGUAUUUCUUGGAAGCAUGGAAAAGGAUUCUGCUUACUAAUCUAGUGUGCUAGUCUGCUUUUUUUUUUUUUAAUGGACCAAUUGAGAACAUUGAUAAUCAGAAAUAGAUUUGACAGGUACAUACUGUUCCCUAUCAUUUUGUUGAUUUAGUUGUGAUGGGGAGUAUCUUGGUCUUUUAUGAGAAUGUGAUAGCUAAUCUUGACAUCUUGACUAUAUUGGUUAUUAACUAAUAUCUCCCUCUCCCCACCCCUCACCCCUGUGAGGGAUUUUCCUUGUUAGAUUAUUUGAGGUAUGAAGAUUCCCGCCAAAUGUGGGCCACACCUACUGGUGACAGCCCAUAAAAAAGGACGUGGAAGAAGAAGCUUCUUACUUUUACAUGCUUGUCCUCACGCUCACUGUCAAGUUCACCCAUUCUGUUGCUAAGGCAUUCCUUCACUGGGAUUAGAACUACUUCUUCGGGAUGAUUCCAGUGUACUCUGAAGAUUUGCACCUCUGCAGGACUUCCUUCAAACUCCAGCACCGGACUGGGACUGUCGAGACAUCUAGUCUCAUGGACUGAACCAGUUCUUUGCCCUUUUCCAUUGGGAGACAAUCAUUUUUAGACUUGGACCAUACUCUCUAAGUCUAUAGACCACUCUAAUACACACAUCUACUCUAUCAAAUUUUGUUCCUUUAGAAAACCCUGACUUAAGCAGUGUCAUAGUACCACUUGUUUUGUCUCAUGUAGUUUCUUAGAUGUGUCUCUUCAGACUGGAGCAUUCCUUCUACCAUGCUCUGUAGAGCUGGCUCUGUGGUCAUGAAUGCCUUUAGCCUGCUACUAUGCUGGAAAGGUUUUCUUUUACCAUGACUUAUGACAUGUAGUUUCUCUGGGUAUCUUAGACUAGAUUGAUUAGAGUGGAAGUUGAAAGACGAGAGUCCAAGCCCUAUGUGUUUCAUGGUUUGGACUGCAAAGUUCACAGUUAUGAUGGCUUGCCUUUGUAUGUGUCUUGCUCUUCUCUUUUGAGAUGUUUAGUGUACUUUUUUGUUCUGUAUAGUUAAUGUUUUAGCUGUGAUAUGAUAAAAGGAAUUUCUAUUUUGGAUAGAUUUGGUAUUAUAUGUACCACUGCUAUCUAGAUGACCCUUUCUUUCCUUUCAUUUGGGAAAUUCUAUUUUUAAAAUUUAUCAUUGACUUUGACUAUAUGACUCAAAUUUUCUAUUCUGUCUUCAUGCCCUGAUACUCUAUUUUAUACAAUAUCCAUUUUGUUGGUGAGGCUUCUGCUAAGCUUUUUAUUUGAUAUUUGUAUUUUUCAUUCCUAUCAUCAUUUUGGUUGAGAUUUCUUCAGUAUUUCUUUCUCUUUUUUUUUGAUAUUAACAAGAUUAAAUUUAUUGACUUAUCUAUCAUACAAUCAAUUGCCCAUUUUUUUAUUAAUUUUUAAUUAGGUAUUUUCCUCAUUUACAUUUCCAAUGAUGUCCCCAAAAGGUCCCCAUACCCUCUCCCCAACUCCCCUACUCACCCACUCCCACUUUUUGGCCCUGGCAUUCCCCUGUACUGGGGCAUAUAAAGUUUGCAAGUCCAAUGGGCGUCUCUUUCCAGUGAUGGCCUACUAGGCCAUCUUUUGAUACACAUGCAGCUAGAGUUAAGAGCUCCGGGGUACUGGUUACUUCAUAACGUUGUUCCACCCAUACGGUUGCAGAUCCCUUCAGCUCCUCCUUGGGUAUUUUCUCUAGCUCCUCCAUUGGGGGCCCUGUGAUCCAUCCAAUAGCUGACUGUGAGGAUCCACUUAUGUGUUUGCUAGGCCCCAGUGUAGUCUCACAAGAGACAGCUAUAUCUGGGUCCUUUCAGCAAAAUCUUGCUAGUGUAUGCAAUGGUGUCAGCGUUUGGCGGCUAUGGCAAUCUCUAGAUGGUCCAUCCUUUUGUCUCAGCUCUAAACUUUGUCUCUGUAACUUCUUCCAUGGGUGUUUUGUUCCCAAUUCUAAGAAGGAGCAAAGUGUCCUAUUUCCUGUUAAAUUGUGCUAUGUUGUAGAUUGUGUUCCAUAUUUCAUUCAGUUGUCCAUGCACCCUCAGAAAAUAUUGGAGUUCUCUUAGAUGCUUUACCACAUUUAUAAUCAUUUUUUUAAACUCUGCAUCUAGAAUCUCAUCUAUGUCAUAUUAAUCAGCAGUCAUUAAUAUGGAGUUGCUAAUUUUGGGAGGAGAUUAAUCAGCAGUCUUUAUAUGGAGUUGUUAAUUUGUGGAGGAGAUAAGUGCCUUUAUUCUCUUAGUGGAUCUAUUUGCAUUGUUUGGAGAGAUUAGGUUAUAGUACAGUUGUGGUGAUGUUCUUGUCUGUUAAACUGGUGUCCCAGGUACUAGAUGCUAUCUGAAGUCUGUCCAUAUGGGUUAACUACAUUUUGCAGCAACAGCCACUCUCCAGUAGUACUUGGCGAAUUUCAAUAAUAGAGUGGCAGGUAACUCUAAAACAGACCCUUGUUGAUUAGUUUAUAGGAAGUAAAGGGACCCUUGGUGGUCCUAAGAUGUAAGUUUGGUUGC
rnacentral:lncRNA from 1 species